rnacentral:rRNA from 1 species
AUUGAACGCUGGCGGCAUGCCUUACACAUGCAAGUCGAACGGUAACGGGCCUUCGGGUGCCGACGAGUGGCGAACGGGUGAGUAAUACAUCGGAACGUGCCCGAUCGUGGGGGAUAACGAGGCGAAAGCUUUGCUAAUACCGCAUACGAUCUACGGAUGAAAGCAGGGGACCGCAAGGCCUUGCGCGGACGGAGCGGCCGAUGGCAGAUUAGGUAGUUGGUGGGAUAAAAGCUUACCAAGCCGACGAUCUGUAGCUGGUCUGAGAGGAUGAUCAGCCACACUGGGACUGAGACACGGCCCAGACUCCUACGGGAGGCAGUAGUGGGGAAUUUUGGACAAUGGGCGCAAGCCUGAUCCAGCCAUGCCGCGUGCAGGAUGAAGGCCUUCGGGUUGUAAACUGCUUUUGUACGGAACGAAAAGUCUUCUUUUAAUACAGGAGGGUCAUGACGGUACCGUAAGAAUAAGCACCGGCUAACUACGUG